GUACUGUUGGAGAGUCCCAAACCAGGACGAAACAGCUGUCCAGUAC
rfam:Trichobilharzia regenti genome assembly, scaffold: TRE_scaffold0007964